rnacentral:rRNA from 1 species
UCGAGAAUCUUCGGCAAUGGACGAAAGUCUGACCGAGCGACGCCGCGUGCGGGAUGAAGGCCCUCGGGUUGUAAACCGCUGUCAGUUUGGAGGAAGGGGACGUGCAGAGCGUUUCUUGACCGAUAUUCAGAGGAAGGACGGGCUAAGUUCGUGCCAGCAGCCGCGGUAAGACGAACCGUCCAAACGUUAUUCGGUAUCACUGGGCUUAAAGCGUGCGUAGGCGGCCCUGCAGGUGUGAUGUGAAAGCCCACGGCUCAACCGUGGAACUGCGUCGCAAACCGCAGGGCUUGAGGAAGACAGGGGUGUUGGGAACUUAUGGUGGAGCGGUGAAAUGCGUUGAUAUCAUAGGGAACACCGGUGGCGAAGGCGCAACACUGGGUCUUUUCUGACGCUGAGGCACGAAAGCUAGGGUAGCGAACGGGAUUAGAUACCCCCGUAGUCC